GAGGCGACGAACAAAUAGCUGUGGUUGGCCAGUGGUGGCUUCUCCAGACACUCAGGAAUGUCCACGUGACUCCCCCUCACCCCUACUAAAGCUACGGAUGCAAGUUGGCAGUCCAGACGUCAUGCUCAGGCCAUCAAUGUUGGGAAAUGCAAGCUUUUGCUCAAACUGGUCCGUGAGAUAUGACUCGAUAUGUGGACGUCAAGGUGAAACUAAUGGAAGGAUUCGUUGCUGAACGACCAACCAAAGUUGUCAUGGACCUACUGGACGACGUCGUCACCCAUCUGUGUCUGUUGAGAGGUUGAAGACUUCGCUCGCUAUGGAUGUGCUGUUUACUUGCUCAACAUAUCUUAUUACCAUUUGCAAUCAGAAAGACAAUGAACGCGUCUUCGAACUCUUACCAAAAGCAAUGGAUAACCUCAAAUGGAUAACUCUCCUCAUUUGCUAACUGGUUUCUUGUUACGUUGGAUGUAAACGCCGUAACUGUCUCACCGUCCUGGAGCCGCCGUUCCGCUCCUCCUCUAAUCGGGUUUCGGGUGAGGUGGUUGAUGUAAACCCACUCUGGGUUGUUCUGUAUAGGACUUGAUUCUGUGGUCAAAAACAACUUUGCAUAUAGUUCUUAACAAUAAACUGACUCGAAUGGAGGAACGGGCAUUGGUGCAUUGGGCCUUGAUUUCGUUUCAAAAUCGAAUGGCAUGAUGGUGGAUAUUCCGAUAUUGCACUGAGAUGCGUUAUGUGACCUCAAGUAUCAGAUCUCAUCCCGGCGUUCUGGUUGUCACUAUGUCCUAGAGGCAUUCUGGUUGUGACUUUGUCCUUUUUGGGAUUGCAUCACAAAGGAAUAGUUGAAAGGAACAGGAAGAUGCAAUGUGGGUGUCCAUUGCACAGCCCAAAGAGCUGACUGAAAAUGCAAAUGAGGUAGAGAAAUAUUUGCAUAGCGGAAUAAGAAUACUGUUGGGGACUUUGAAAGUCGCAGGUCAAGCUUGCAGCUGAUUUAUAUAAAGCUAAGCAUAUCAACGGGAGAAGAGAAGCUUUCAGGUUAUUGGUGGUCAAAUAUGUACAUUGUAUUCAAGAUGUAUAUUUACACGUCAUGUAUAAUUGCAGUCGAAAGAAUAUCAUUCACAUUCUAGAAUCAUCCAAUAUGACCUUUAGCCAUAACAUCACGCCUAGGAUGUCUAUCCAUUUAAACUAGAAAUCCAAUAUUUCCUUUUAUCAUCAUCUUUAUUUGAGUCAGACAGUAACAAAAACGAUAGAACUAGUAACAGCCUUCAGCAAAACCAAGGCAUUUUCAUUCCAUUACGCAGGUAAGCCAGCGAGUGACGAAACUAUUAAGGAGUCUCUAGAUGUAUUGGAUAACGUGUUAAGAGGGAAUUUAUUCAAUUUAAAACAAAGCUGGAUGGGGUAGCUCAUUAAUGUGGAUUGUGUUCAUUAGGGAGAUAAUUUGAGAGGUGAUGUUGAGAGAUAGGCGGUUGCUGCAGCGAGCCCCCGGGCUGGUCGCUGCGACUGACGGCUGAUGAUAAGUCAGGACUGGGGACUCCGAUCCCCCGCCGUCACCAAGUGGAUUAAACGAUCACAGAUAGCAGGAUGACGGCUGUCGCCCGCCAGAAUAGCGUGACGUUUCUGUACCUCCUCGAUACGGAGAGUGUUCAAAUAAAACAGAACAAGUGAAGUACUGAUUUUCAAAGUCGACCAUCGAGGCCGGAGAUACAAUUAUCGGCCCUGUUUCUAUGCAACUCGAAAUAAUCAAGAACUGGAUGCUAAACGAUUUGGAUGUUUCUAUUCAAAUUUUGGAGUUUUGUAUGAAUUGUGAAAUAUCUAAGGAACUGUCAAACAGCGUCAUCAUCUUGGCUUUAUUCAUCAGGCUAAAAGGAAAACUAGUAACCACUUAGACACGAACUUGUCAAACUCUUCCACCAUAAAAAAAUAAUGAAAAGAACUUUUUGAACUAUUCUAAAGUGAUACGCUGCACAACAGCUUAAGGCAAGUUGAGUUUAGAAGUUUGGAAGUUGACAAUGUACCUACGACAGCUAUUCCAAAGGAAAAAAAGAUCAGCUUUCCAUAGAAACAGAGAUAUAAAGAAAUGUCUGACUAUGUUGCUUGAUGAAAUGAAAAAGUAGGACAGUUACUUUUAUGGAAAGUGAUGGUCCCAUAAUGGCAAUCUCUUACACAAAAAGGGCUUUCUGUUUUUGUAGCUUUUCGGAGAUAUUUCUAUCCGAUUCCUUUGGCGAAAGGAGCGUUUUGUUGUGUAAGAAUACCCUUAACAGAAGGGUUAAGAAAAUGCUGCAUUCACUGGUAAUGCCAAUAAUACCAAUACAGGACAUACGAUGAUUCAAACGUUUUGUAACUUUUCAUGAAUUAACUAUCUAUGCAAAUUGUCUAUUAAGACUACCUUCAUAUAGUUUCAUAGUUCAUAGUUUUCUAGACAUUUGACUCGAUUGGUGCAAAUACCGUGAUAAAACCGUUUUGGAUAACUUAACGCUUGGAUACUAGUAAUUCUUAAAUGGAUUUGAAAUUAUAUCAAAAACUACUCUAGCUAUUGGUUUCAAGAGGAUUUGGAUUUUUCUGUCAUUCAUGUGUUUCUUGUCCUGUAAUACUUUGCCGAAUUCCCUAAUCCUGUAUUCAUUCCAAGCUUUACUACGACAAUUCCGUCCCCGCCAAAAAACACCAAAACUUCUUCAAGAAACAGGUCUACAUGUAUACAAACAUAAUGUUUGCGGCGGGGUGUCUGUUAAAAUUUAUGUGUCUAGUACAAAUGACUCCAAGCGCAUUUGCAUUCAUGCCCAGCUUUACUACGACAGAGAACGCUCCUGGCAACACCAAAUACUGUCUAGAAACCAAGCUGGAAACACAACACUAUAGUCCUACAAACAUUGUGUUUUUAGGGGGACGUCUCUUAAAUGUAUCUAUCUCUGGUACAAAUAACUCCGGGAUGGCAAAACGAGUUUGUAAAGUAUGAUUCGCAUUAGACAUAAAUAAGCGGUAAACAGUAAACAACAUGAUCUCGUUGAACAAGCCAACUGACGGUUGCCAGUUUAAUGGGUUGGAAAGUAAACUACGUCAACCUUCUAUUUAGAUCGAGUGUUCCAGGUGACUCUUCAAAAUUUUGAUGCCAUUUUCUUACCUUCGGCUGACGAAUCUUUCCCAACUACCGCAAAUAUAUUAGAAAUAUCGUAUUGAUUACGGAAUCAUGCUUUACCGAUUGACGGAAUUGUACAUCUCAAUAUGAUGUCUGUAUCAAAAUAUCAGUCUCUAGCCAAACCUAAGAUAAUUGCUCGGGCUCGAAACCUUUAAAAUUUGACAUUUCAACUUCACGAAACAUGCAAACCUUUCUCGCGAAGAUCAAAGCCCACCGCGGCCAGCAAUGGGUUAAUCUUGAAGACGUAUACGGAUAAGUCUCAUGGGUAAAGGGAUUACGUUGGCACCUCUUAACUGAGAAAAGGAAACGGGGUGUUCCCGUCCUACUUUGACACUCGACACGGAUACGGCGUCAUCAAAGUCAAGACUUUUACGGUGUAAUUUUCUUUAAAGUGCACCUAGCGAGGGAAAUCCUUUGGAAAUGCUUUGGAAAUGCUUUCCAAGUCGAAUGUCAACCUUUUAAACUUGGGCCGCGUCUUAAGUUACCUCCUAAUUAUAGAUUCGGUGACACUGAGACAUUUUGAUACAGAUUGAGUAUGUGUGCUGUGCAGUUUGAUAUUGAAGAAUUCUAAAUUGAACUCGGUGAAAUGGAGUUCAUGGGUUUCUUCUAUAAGGGAAACAGGUAAAUUUCAAACGAAGUCUUCCCUGCUAAAGUUUUUUUGCGUGACGUUUGCAUGUUAUGUGUCAUGUGUUAUAAACAUGCGUUCAGUCUUAUGAUGGUGCUAUUUUAAAUGUUACAACUUUAUACACUGUGGAAAUUCAAUGUCUGAGAUAGUGUCUCCCCAGGCAAUCACUCAGGUUGUUUACUAGUAUUAAUGUCUGUUACCUUUUGGAGAUAUUUUUUCCACUUAUAUUGUGUGUCGCUUUUGCAAUAUUUCAAGUACUUAAAAAAUAAAUAAAUUUUUGAAAUAUUUAUACUAAACACUGUGUAUUGAUUCACUCUCUGUGCAUGUAUUUUUGCAACGCUUUAGAUGUAAUUUAAAAAGUCUCAGGGACAUUACUACAUAUAAUAUUCUGUUAGUGUUUUUAGGUUCAAAUUAUUUGUUGACAUUGAACUUUGAGUUGAAAUUGUUUCGAUGAGUGCGCAACUGUGACAUGAAAAACAGGUGCUUAUUUACUUGGGGCUUUGCGUGGGACGUUCGGAAUACUGUAAAUAUGACACAGGCAUAGAAAAGGCUACGAAUAACUCAAAUAUUGGCUGUAUAAUGCGUUGAGUCUCGCCGAAUUAUGAGUUAUAAAAUGCAACA